CUUGGUUGCGCAACUCUGUGAAUCCUAUCGAUGGGAAUGCAAAGAAGGGAGAAUACUACUGGAAGGAGGUUGCUGAUACAUUCAACAGCACAACUGAGAGUGACCGAAAGCGGGACGUCAAGCACCUCAAGAACCAUUGGUACAAAACAACAAAGAAGGUAACCUCUUUCAACAGCUGCUAUAACCAGAUGAGAGACACCUAUGCGAGUGGCCGGUGUGAUCAACAAUUGAUGCAGCAAGCUCUAGACCUGUACCACAGCCGCAAUGGACACCAGUUCACAUAUGUGCAUUGGUGGGAAGCUGUGAAAGACAGCCAGAAGUGGAAGAUUCAUGUAUACACAGAAGGAGAUGGAACAAAGAGGUCAGCGCCAACACCAACUGAGAAUGCUCAGCGUCCCCCAGGAACAAAGAGGGCGAAGAAAGCUACAGGAAAAGAGAAGGAAGCCCCUACUGAGAUGAAUGACAUGAAAGAACAGAUUGAGGCCUUCCUACAAGCACAAGCUGAUACUAAGGUCCAAACGAAUGAGAUGAUGGAAUUGCAGUCGUUUAUCUGCUCAGAAGGUAGAAGCUAACCAACUUGCAUAUGAGGCAGCAAAGGAGAGGACUGUGGCAAAGUUAGCUGAGGAAAGAACCAAGUUGUUUGAUAAGUUUACACAAAUGUUGAGUGCCGACACUACAACAAUGGAGCCAUGGGCAAAGGAGAUGCAUGUGAGGGCUGUCACGAGAUUGGGGGAUCAACUUUUCAAGGAGGGAUAGAAGAUAUGUGUGCAGCAAAGGGGAGCUUCAUGUGCAAGGAAGCAUAGAAGAUGUGAGACUGUUUUGUUUUGAACGAGAAGGGCCAACGGAUACACCAACAAAUUCAGUUUGAACUUUGAAUAAAUAUGAUAUGCGUGUUUACAAAUCUUCUCUUGUGCUUGGAAACCUUAAGAUUGUUCUAUUACUGUGAGAUUUUUUGUGUCAUGGUCAAGAAAUACUUGUUGUUAUAUUUUGGAUAUAAAAAAUUGCUGGUAAGAAUGUUCUAUUGUUGUGGGA